rnacentral:tRNA from 1 species
GCGCCAGUAGCUCAAUGGAUAGAGCACCAGCCUUCUAAGCUGUAGGUUAGAGGUUCGACUCCUCUCUGGCGUACAA